CGUAACAAGGUCUCCGUAGGUGAACCUGCGGAGGGAUCAUUACACAACAAAAUAUGAAGGCCCUGGCUUCGCGGCCGGCUGAAAUAUUUUUUCACCCAUGUCUUUUGCGCACUUGUUGUUUCCUGGGCGGGUUUGCCCGCCACCAGGACCAAACCAUAAACCUUUUUUUUUAUGCAGUUACCAUCAGCGUCAGUAAAACAAUGUAAUUAAUUACAACUUUCAACAACGGAUCUCUUGGUUCUGGCAUCGAUGAAGAACGCAGCGAAAUGCGAUACGUAGUGUGAAUUGCAGAAUUCAGUGAAUCAUCGAAUCUUUGAACGCACAUUGCGCCCUUUGGUAUUCCAAAGGGCAUGCCUGUUCGAGCGUCAUUUGUACCUUCAAGCUUUGCUUGGUGUUGGGCGUUUUUGUCUCCCUCUUUCUGGGAGACUCGCCUUAAAACGAUUGGCAGCCGGCCUACUGGUUUCGGAGCGCAGCACAUAAUUUGCGCUUUGUAUCUGGAGAAAAGGACGGUAAUCCAUCAAGACUCCAGAUUUUUAACUUUUGACCUCGGAUCAGGUAGGGAUACCCGCUGAACUUAAGCAUAUC
rnacentral:rRNA from 1 species